rnacentral:rRNA from 1 species
CAAACUGGAGAUGGCGACCGGCGCACGGGUGAGUAACACGUAUCCAACCUGCCGAUAACUCGGGGAUAGCCUUUCGAAAGAAAGAUUAAUACCCGAUGGCAUAAUAGAACCGCAUGGUUGAUUAUUAAAGAAUUUCGGUUAUCGAUGGGGAUGCGUUCCAUUAGGCAGUUGGUGGGGUAACGGCCCACCAAACCUUCGAUGGAUAGGGGUUCUGAGAGGAAGGUCCCCCACAUUGGAACUGAGACACGGUCCAAACUCCUACGGGAGGCAGCAUG